rnacentral:misc_RNA from 1 species
GCCUGUUCGAGCGUCAUUGCAACCCUCAAGCCUUGCUUGGUAUUAGACGUCACAGCUGUGGUGCGUCUCAAAAUCAUUGGCGGGUGCCAUUUGGCUUCCAGCGUAGUAAUAUCUCGCUCCGGAGCGCAUGUGCGCAACUGCCUUGCCCCAAAAUAUCAAAGGUUGACCUCGGAUCAGGUAGGGAUACCCGCUGAACUUAA